CCCUUAGAUGUUCUGGGCCGCACGCGCGCUACACUGAUGCAUUCAUCGAGUUUACAACCUUGAUCGAUAGGUCUGGGUAAUCUUUUAAAUGUGCAUCGUGCUAGGGAUAGAUUAUUGCAAUUAUUAAUCUUGAACGAGGAAUUCCUAGUAAACGCAAGUCAUCAGCUUGCAUUGAUUACGUCCCUGCCCUUUGUACACACCGCCCGUCGCACCUACUGAUUGGAUGACUCGGUGAUAAAUUGGGACUGUGAAGAACACUGCUUAAUUGCGGCGUUUUUUAUGGGAACUUUUUUAAACCUCGUUAUCUAGAAGAAGGUGAAGUCGUANCA
rnacentral:rRNA from 1 species